GGUGGUUCAGUGGUAGAGUGCUUGCCUUGCAUGCAUGAGGUCCUGGGUUCGAUUCCUUAGCACCA
rnacentral:tRNA from 1 species